CCCUUAGAUGUUCUGGGCCGCACGCGCGCUACAAUGAUGAAUUCAACGAGUUUAUAACCUUGGUUGAAAAGCCUGGGUAAUCUUUUGAACUUUCGUCGUGAUGGGGCUAGACCCUUGCAAUUAUUGGUCUCCAACGAGGAAUUCCUAGUAAACGCAAGUCAUCAGCUUGCAUUGAUUACGUCCCUGCCCUUUGUACACACCGCCCGUCGCACCUACCGAUUGAAUGGUCCGGUGAAGCCUCGGGAUUGUGGCCAGUUCACUUUAUUGGGAGUUGGCUGUGAGAACUUGUCUAAACCUUAUCAUUUAGAGGAAGGUGAAGUCGUAACA
rnacentral:rRNA from 1 species